UAGAAUUAACUAGAUCAAAGCGGGGGUUUUCCAACGUGAUAUUAUUCGGUGCAGCAGGCAACCGACUAACUAAAGAUUCCAAAGCUCUGUCAAUUCGUGCAUCAAUUAUUUUUUGUAGAAGCUCAUCUCUUGUUUCAACUCCUCCCUCAGCAUGUUCAGAUAGAUCAUUAGGAGUUCCUUCUCGAGAUCCAUGUGGAGAAGCUUGAGGAAGAGGAUAACCGUGUUCAUCUCCCACCACUUGAUGGAUUCGAUUUUUCUUGAUUGUUGUUGUCGUUAUUGUUUGACAUGAUGAUAACAAUGAGUAGAGUGUAAUCUUAAAAAGAAUAGAUUAUCAGAUUCCCGGUAACGGAACCAAUUUGUUUAACCAAAAUAUAAUAUUUUGGUCAAAGCUAGAAUUUAAGAUAAAAGGUCGGGUUAUUGAUAAUCAAGAGACCAAAAAGAAUAAUAAGCUUUUUGAGAAUAAGAAUAAGACAGUAAACAAAUUUGUAUUUCAGUAUAAUAUCAAUGCUAUUUCGUGCCCUUACAAAUGAUGAGACAUUUUCC
rnacentral:lncRNA from 1 species